rnacentral:rRNA from 1 species
AGCGAACGCUGGCGGCAUGCUUAACACAUGCAAGUCUCACGGGCAGCAAUGUCAGUGGCGGACGGGUGAGUAACGCGUAGGUAUCUAUCCUUGGGUGGGGGAUAACUGUGGGAAACUACAGCUAAUACCGCAUGACAACUGAGGUUCAAAGGCGCAAGUCGCCUGAGGAGGAGCCUGCGUACGAUUAGCUAGUUGGUGGGGUAAAGGCCUACCAAGGCGACGAUCGUUAGCUGGUCUGAGAGGAUGAUCAGCCACAUUGGGACUGAGACACGGCCCA